CAAAAAAUUGAAUCCAUUUCAUUAAUCUGCUCAACAGAUCGCAUUCAAAUCACAUACUUACACGAGAACAGAGAGGAAACAGAGAAUUUGAAAAUUCCAAAGCUCGAAACAGAUCGGAAACAGAAUCAGAGAAGAACGAAACGAAACGAAAAUCCAUCAUCGCGAAUGAUUUCUAAACAAAAUUCACAAUCCUAAUCCAACAGCAAGAAUCAAUCGAAUCUCGAAAUCAAACACCAGCAAUCGGCGAAACAAAAAGCCUCAAGUAAGUCGCUCAGAUUAAAAAAGAACCGAAUCGAAUCGAAACGAAUCUACCUGGAAUUAGAAACGCGGAAAAUAGAGGCGAAGAGGCGAGAGAAGGCUUGGCGAAAACGAGGAUAAACUCUGAGCGUAUGAGCGGCGGAGUCACGGAGAAGUUCCUCUAGGGUUUCGACGAACAAAUUGAGGCUCCGAAUUGGCGGCACAUAGAGCGUCAAUGGCACUGCGGAGAAAGCGACGGCGAAGAACAGCUGAAGCAUUGGAACUUGCUAGGAUCCGGAAU